AUUGAACGCUGGCGGCAGGCUUAACACAUGCAAGUCGAGCGAGCGGCGGACGGGUGAGGAAUGUCUGGGAAACUGCCUGAUGGAGGGGGAUAACUACUGGAAACGGUAGCUAAUACCGCAUACCAUCAGAUGGGCCCAGAGGGGAUUAGCUAGUAGGUGGGGUAAUGGCUCACCUAGGCGACGAUCCCUAGCUGGUCUGAGAGGAUGACCGGCCACACUGUAACCGAGACACGGUCCAGACUCCUACGGGAGGCAGCAGUAGGGAAUAUGGCACGAUGGGCGCAAGCCUGAUGCAGCCAUGCCGCGUGAGUGAAGAAGGCCUUCGGGUUGUAAAGCACUUUCGGCGGGGAGGCGUUACUCACAGAGGAAGCACCGGCUAACUCCGUGCCAGCAGCCGCGGUAAUAC
rnacentral:rRNA from 1 species